GGAGGGUGCGAGCGUUAAUCGGAAUUACUGGGCGUAAAGCGCGCGCAGGCGGCUGGGUCAGUCGGAUGUGAAAGCCCCGGGCUUAACCUGGGAAUUGCAUUCGAUACUGCCCGGCUAGAGUAUGGGAGAGGGAAGUGGAAUUUCCGGUGUAGCGGUGAAAUGCGUAGAUAUCGGAAGGAACACCAGUGGCGAAGGCGGCUUCCUGGCCCAAUACUGACGCUCAGGUGCGAAAGCGUGGGGAGCGAACAGGGAUUAGAUACCCUGGUAGUCCACGCUGUAAACGAUGAGAACUAGAUGUUGGGAGGGUUAGCCUCUCAGUGUCGCAGCUAACGCGUUAAGUUCUCCGCCUGGGGAUACGACCGCAAGGUUG
rnacentral:rRNA from 1 species